UACGUAGGAGGCAAGCGUUGUCCGGAAUUACUGGGCGUAAAGCGUGUGUAGGUGGUGGGACAAGUCUGCUGUGAAAGCGCCUGGCUUAACCGGGCGAGGUCGGCGGAAACUGUCCGACUCGAGGACGGUAGAGGGGGGUGGAAUUCCCGGUGUAGUGGUGAAAUGCGUAGAUAUCGGGAGGAACACCAGUGGCGAAGGCGGCUUCCUGGCCUGUUCUUGACGCUGAGGCGCGAAAGCUAGGGUAGCAAACGGG
rnacentral:rRNA from 1 species